rnacentral:rRNA from 1 species
CCUACGGGAGGCAGCAGUAGGGAAUAUUGCUCAAUGGGGGAAACCCUGAAGCAGCAACGCCGCGUGGAGGAUGAAGGUUUUCGGAUUGUAAACUCCUUUUGUUAGAGAAGAUAAUGACGGUAUCUAACGAAUAAGCACCGGCCAACUCCGUGCCAGCAGCCGCGGUAAUACGGGGGGCGCAAGCGUUACUCGGAAUCACUGGGCGGAAAGAGCGCGUAGGCGGGAUAGCAAGUCAGAUGUGAAAUCCUAUGGCUUAACCAUAGAACUGCAUUUGAAACUGUUAUUCUAGAGUAUGGGAGAGGUAGGUGGAAUUCUUGGUGUAGGGGUAAAAUCCGUAGAGAUCAAGAGGAAUACUCAUUGCGAAGGCGACCUGCUAGAACAUAACUGACGCUGAUGCGCGAAAGCGUGGGGAGCAAACAGGAUUAGAUACCCUUGUAGUC